rnacentral:lncRNA from 1 species
AUGGCUAGCAGCCCAGAGAAGAGUUCCACAGCACAGGAGCUGAAGGAGCAGGGCAACCGACUGUUCCUCUGCCGCAAGUACCAGGAAGCUGCCACCUGCUACAGCAAAACCAUAAACCGUGUGUAUACUUGCCAACAGAACCGUAACCCUCAGUGGCGGUGUACUACACCAACCGUACUCUGUGCCAAGUGAAGCUGCAAGCAGAACGACAAAGCCCUGGCGGACUGCAAGCACGCGCUGGAACUGGACCCCCAUUCUGUCAAAGCCCACUUCUUCCUGUGCCAGUGUCACCUGGAGCUGGAGAACUACAACGAGGCCAUCGGCAACCUGCAGAGAGGUCAGGACCAACCCUCAAGGCCAGUUUCCUAGACACAGAUUAAGUUUGGGCCUGUAUUCACUAAGGGUCCGAUUUAGGAAAUUACGCCUUUCCUAUAUAUUUUUUAGUAGUUGGUAUUCAGAGUAACCUUAUGAAGGUGCGUAACAGGCUUUGUAGGCGUGGUUCACUAGCGCACGCCAAAUUAGUGUAAUUGAACUGCUAGAAACCUUCCCACUGGCUGGCCAACAGAUGUUCUCGUGGAGUUUUUAUUCAAUAGGGUUUUCAGUACAUUUGUCUUAAUAAGUCAUCCCUUUAAAUACAGUACACCUUUUCACUUUGGUUUUUGUCAACAGACUCAAUAGAAUAUAUUGAGAGAACGGGUUCAGAAUAUUAUGGAUCAUGAAGGAAGAGAUAUCUAAAUAUAUGCAUAUUUGUCUCCGUUUCAACACCAGUUGGUAGAUUUUAAAAAAAUACUCUGAUCUUGUAGGUUAUUUAGGGUUAGGAAAGUAUUUACGAAUCAUAAAAAAAUAGCUUGGAGAGCCUUUCGGCACGAAAAGAAAGUAAACAGUGGUUUGAUUCAUUCUAAAAAUUGCCACACUCACCUAUUUAACCUGUGGUAAUGUUGGAAUAUUUUGUGUACAUAGAGAAUAGUGUACAAUAGCUAUACCCACAUCUAUUGCCUGCACCAACCAUGGAACAGGGUGAUGACACAGCCAAGUAUGGUGCCAUACAUCGGGUUCAAACUGCUGUCAUAAUCAGUGUUCCGCUCCAUAAACGAUUUAAUUAGCCUUUUAUUUUUUAUGUUAUCAAUUGUU